AUGACUGAGCUCAUGAUUGGUUUCUCUGCCACUGCUACAGCUGGCGUCUUUGCCCUGGCACAGGGGCACUCACUGACUUUAUGGGGUGGCGCGGGGUCAGCGGGCCUGGGCGGAGCGGGGCCCUGCGCGGCCGUGUCCAUGUUCCCCGGCGGCCGCCUCCUCACCAUCGGCGACGCGAACGGCGAGAUCCAGCUGCACGCGGAGCAGCAGGCGCUGCGCCUCGAGGUGCGCGCCGGCCCGGACGCGGCGGGAAUCGCCCUCUACAGCCAUGAAGAUGUGUGUGUCUUUAAGUGCUCAGUGUCCCGAGAGACAGAGUGCAGCCAUGUGGGCAAGCAGUCCUUCAUCAUCACCCUGGGCUGCAACAGUGUCCUCAUCCAGUUCGCCACACCCAACGAUUUCUGUUCCUUCUACAACAUCCUGAAAACCUGCCGGGGCCACACCCUGGAGCGGUCCGUGUUCAGUGAGCGGACGGAGGAGUCUUCUGCCGUGCAGUACUUCCAGUUUUAUGGCUACCUGUCCCAGCAGCAGAACAUGAUGCAGGACUACGUGCGGACAGGCACCUACCAGCGCGCCAUCCUGCAAAACCACACCGACUUCAAGGACAAGAUCGUUCUUGAUGUUGGCUGUGGCUCUGGGAUCCUGUCGUUUUUUGCCGCCCAAGCUGGAGCACGGAAAAUCUACGCGGUGGAGGCCAGCACCACGGCCCAGCACGCCGAGGUCUUGGUGAAGAGUAACAACCUGACGGACCACAUCGUGGUCAUCCCGGGCAAGGUGGAGGAGGUGUCACUCCCCGAGCAGGUGGACAUCAUCAUCUCGGAGCCCAUGGGCUACAUGCUCUUCAAUGAGCGCAUGCUGGAGAGCUACCUCCACGCCAAGAAGUACCUGAAGCCCAGCGGAAACAUGUUUCCUACCAUUGGUGACGUCCACCUUGCACCCUUCACGGAUGAACAGCUCUACAUGGAGCAGUUCACCAAGGCCAACUUCUGGUACCAGCCAUCGUUCCACAGAGUGGACCUGUCGGCCCUCCGAGGUGCCGGGGUGGAUGAGUAUUUCCGGCAGCCUGUGGUGGACACAUUUGACAUCCGGAUCCUGAUGGCCAAGUCUAUCAAGUACACGGUGAACUUCUUAGAAGCCAAAGUUGGGAGUGGAAACAUGGAUGAGUCCAGCUUUGUGAGCAAAUUUCAUUGCCACUGA